AGUCGUACGAGAACUCUUUAGCUUGCUAAAGAUAGUAAAGUGGCGCACGGGUGAGUAACGCGUGGGUAAUCUACCUCCGAAUCAGGAAUAACCAGCCGAAAGGCUAGCUAAUACCGGAUAAUAUCUAUAGAACUUCGGUUUUAAAGAUCAAAGGUGGUCUCUACAUGUAAGCUACUGUUUGGAGAUGAGCCCGCGUACCAUUAGCUUGUUGGUAGGGUAAUGGCCUACCAAGGCUUCGAUGGUUAGCUGGUCUGAGAGGAUGAUCAGCCACACUGGAACUGACACACGGUCCAGACUCCUACGGGAGGCAGCAGUGAGGAAUUUUGCGCAAUGGGGGAAACCCUGACGCAGCAACGCCGCGUGAGUGACGAAGGCUUUCGGGUCGUAAAGCUCUGUCAAGUGGGAAGAACAUGUUUGAUGCUAAUACCAUCAUGCAUUGACGGUACCACUGAAGGAAGCACCGGCUAACUCCGUGCCAGCAGCCGCGGUAAUACGGGGGGUGCAAGCGUUAUUCGGAAUUAUUGGGCGUAAAGGGCGCGUAGGCGGUCUUUUAAGUCAGAUGUGAAAGCCCGGGGCUCAACCCCGGAAGUGCAUUUGAAACUAAGGGACUUGAGU
rnacentral:rRNA from 1 species